UACGGAGGGUGCAAGCGUUAAUCGGAAUCAUUGGACGUAAAGGGUGCGUAGGCGGCGCGGUAAGUCGGGUGUGAAAUCUCGGAGCUUAACUCCGAAACUGCAUUCGAUACUGCCGUGCUUGAGGACUGGAGAGGAGACUGGAAUUUACGGUGUAGCGGUGAAAUGCGUAGAUAUCGUAAGGAAGACCAGUGGCGAAGGCGGGUCUCUGGACAGUUCCUGACGCUGAGGCACGAAAGCGUGGGGAGCAAACAGG
rnacentral:rRNA from 1 species